rnacentral:tRNA from 1 species
GGGGGACUGGUGUAGUGGUAACACGACGGUCUCCAAAACCGUAACUCGAGGUUCGAUUCCUCGGUCCCCCG